rnacentral:misc_RNA from 1 species
AACGCACAUUGCGCCCGCCAGUAUUCUGGCGGGCAUGCCUGUUCGAGCGUCAUUUCAACCCUCAAGCUCCGGCUUGGUGUUGGGGAUCGGCAGCGCGGCUUCGUGCCGACGCCGUCCCCCAAAUGCAGUGGCGGUCACGCUGUAGCUUCCUAUGCGUAGUAGCACACCUCGCACUGGAGAGCAGCGCGGCCACGCCGUAAAACCCCCUACUUUUUGUGGUUGACCUCGAAUCAGGUAGGACUACCCGCUGAACUUAA